rnacentral:rRNA from 1 species
CCUACGGGAGGCAGCAGUGGGGAAUUUUGGACAAUGGGGGCAACCCUGAUCCAGCCAUGCCGCGUGAGUGAAGAAGGCCUUCGGGUUGUAAAGCUCUUUCGGCCGGAACGAAAUCGCGCACGUGAAUAACGUGCGUGGAUGACGGUACCGGAGUAAGAAGCACCGGCUAACUACGUGCCAGCAGCCGCGGUAAUACGUAGGGUGCGAGCGUUAAUCGGAAUUACUGGGCGUAAAGCGUGCGCAGGCGGUUCGCUAAGUCAGACGUGAAAGCCCCGGGCUUAACCUGGGAACGGCGUUUGAAACUGGCGGGCUCGAGUACGGCAGAGGGGGGUGGAAUUCCACGUGUAGCAGUGAAAUGCGUAGAUAUGUGGAGGAACACCGAUGGCGAAGGCAGCCCCCUGGGCCGAUACUGACGCUCAUGCACGAAAGCGUGGGGAGCAAACAGGAUUAGAUACCCUGGUAGUCCACGCCCUAAACUAUGUCAACUAGUUGUCGGGGAAGCAAUUCCUUGGUAACGCAGCUAACGCGUGAAGUUGACCGCCUGGGGAUACGGUCGCAAGAUUAAAACUUAAGGAAUUGACGG